GAACCGUCCAUUCUCUAUGAACAAAAUAAAGAGAAUCGUGAUGGUCAGUACUUAAAAGGUAACACAGACCUGCCACGCUACGCUGACAGCAGUGACUAUGUCUCUGUGGAGAACUGGGAUGAAGAAAUCCCCAGUGUAGCAAGAGUUGGAGUGGACCCAAACUACUUCAUGAGACUCAAUGCCAGGAACACCGCCGGGUAAGUAUAGAAGGAUUUUGUUGGGACUAGGGGAUGAUCAGGUUGAAUUGUAAGGUGAGCCCUGUCUGAUCUCUAUUAUCAGUUCCCUUCCAGUAAAACCAGGGGAACGAUAGGUUUGAUCUCAAUCAGUCUUGUACUUACAUUUGUACCUACAUCAUAUACCUACAUCUUAUACCUACAUCUUAUACCUACAUCUUAUACCUACAUCAUAUACCUACAUCUUAUACCUACAUCAUAUACCUACAUCUUAUACCUACAUCAUAUACCUACAUCUUAUACCUACAUCAUAUACCUACAUCUUAUACCUACAUCUUAU